rnacentral:rRNA from 1 species
GAUGAACGCUGGCGGCGUGCCUAAUACAUGCAAGUCGAGCGAACAGACGAGGAGCUUGCUCCUCUGACGUUAGCGGCGGAAGGGUGAGUAACACGUGGAUAACCUACCUAUAAGACUGGGAGAACUUCGGGAAACCGGAGCUAAUACCGGAUAAUAUAUUGAACCGCAUGGUUCAAUAGUGAAAGACGGUUUUGCUGGCAAUUAUAGAUGGAGACGCGCCGCAUUAGUUAGUUGGUAAGGUAACGGCUUACCAAGGCAACGAUGCGUAGCCGACCUGAGAGGGUGAUCGGCCACACUGGAACUGAGACACGGUCCACACUCCUACGGGAGGCAGCAGUAGGGAAUCUUCCGCAAUGGGCGAAAGCCUGACGGAGCAACGCCGCGUGAGUGAUGAAGGUCUUCGGAUCGUAAAACUCUGUUAUUAGGGAAGAACAAAUGUGUAAGUAACUAUGCACGUCUUGACGGUACCUAAUCAGAAAGCCACGGCUAACUACGUG